rnacentral:lncRNA from 1 species
AGCUUGUUGGCCUCCACCUCUUCGGUGUUUUGCCAAGCACAUUGCAUUAUUUUCCACUGUAAUCCCACGUGACCUCUGGUUGGCACAUAAACUAACAACAUAGAUUAGGGGGUGAGGUUAUGUUUGUAGGUAUCUUUUAUCUAUUUUUCAAUGAUUUUUCAUUGUUUAUAAUCAUCGUAUUUUGUCUAUUUUGGAUUCAUUUGGAUUUCGUUUCCUGUUUUUGUGAACUUUAUAAACUUAACCACAAUGCAAAAUGAUUAUUUAAGGAAAUUAUUAUUGGAAACUUCCGAUGUUGCGAGAAAGAUAUUUAUUGAAGCUGAAAAUAAUUGGGGAUUUAGAUCCAUACGCAAUUCAGUCAGAAUUGGAUUUUACAGUUAAGUGCAGUCCAUCAAGUUACUAUUAUAGAUAUUUAUACAUAUUUGGUGGAGUCUCACAGUUGCUACUCUAAGCAGCAGAUGAAAGCAUACAAAAGCCUUCAGGCACAUAAAUAUUUUACAGCUGGAUUUGUUUUGAAUGGAGUAAAAAUUGUUAAUGAUUUCCAUAUUAUUGUAGGAAAGGUGAAGCAUUUCCAAAAAGCUAAUGCUAAACGACUAAAUGCUUGGGUGGGGUGAUAGCCAGUUCUGAUGACAUAGCAAAUGCACAUUGUAUGCAUAUGGCCGGUAAUAGUAAAGUAUGCCCAGGGCAAGACAGACGAAGAAGAACCCAAUGCAUGUACAUAUGUUACAGCUACAUGGUUUGGAGAUAGCAACAUAUGCAUUCUCUGAUGAAAAACUAAUGAGUUUUGAAACUGUUCGGUCAGAGUGCUUGUUGCGCUCACUGAACGAACUGAAAUAUGAGAUGGCUUUGGCAUUGUGUUGCAGCGAUAUGAAAAUGGUUAUUCAUUUUUAAUUAUAAUGUACUUCUUCAUCAUGAGUAAUUAUGUAUUGGUCUUUUAAAUGUGUAUUUAUUUUUGUAAUUAGUAUCAACUUGUAAUGAUAAUAUACAUUUAUCGUUUAAGGUAUGACUAUGUUUAGACUCUAAAAUAAAUGUUUUAAAAAUCGAA